rnacentral:misc_RNA from 1 species
UUUCCGUAGGUGAACCUGCGGAAGGAUCAUUAUUGUAUAACCGAGGUGCGAGGGCUGUCGCUGACCCGAAAGGUCGUGCACGCCCGAGUGCCCUCACACACAUCCAUCUCACCCCUAUGUGCACCACCGCGUGGGUCCCCCUUUGGCUUGUUCGGAGGGGGGCUUACGUUUUCACACAAACUUUGUAUGUAGUGUAGAAUGUAUUUUUUGUUCUUGCGAUCACGCAAUCAAUACAACUUUCAACAACGGAUCUCUUGGCUCUC